rnacentral:lncRNA from 1 species
AUGGUGGGGUUCUUGCCUUUAUAUAGAAAACCCGAGAGAGCUUACUUCCUGUCUCUGCUCUCUCCAUGUGAGUGUCCAACGAGAGGAUGGCCAUCCACCAACCAACCAGGAAGCAGGUUCUCACCAGGCACCAGAUCUGCCGGCACCUUGAUCUUGGGCUUCCCAGGCUUCAGAACUGUGAGAGAGAAAUGCUUGCUGUCUAAGGCUCCCAGUAUGUGGUAUUUGUCCAGCGGCCUGAGCAGACUAAGACUUUUUCUGGCGUGUAGACGUAUGCUCAUAUGGCAGACAGGUGCCGUGGAAGCCAUGAGAAAGGGGAGACCAAUCUACUCCCAACCAGAGAUCAGAAUGUCGAAGAACAAAAGUGAGGAGCAAAAUAGAUGCUUAAGAGUCAGCAGGGCCUCCGGAUGUGUGAACAGCCUCCCGCCAGCUCUCCUGCCCUGUGUUACGUAUGCCUGCCUGUUUUCUCUGUAAAGACCCUCGGGGAUCUGCCUAGAAAACAUCUUGGGUGAGUGGCUCUUUGCAGGGCUGCGUGAAGUCAAUGAAGCCUCUGGCUCCCUCUGCUCCCACUCUGUGCCCCUUGGAUGGUGAGGGUUAGAAGUGGGUAGGGUGAGGGGAGGGAGCAAUUUUCAUUCAAGGUAGGGCAAUGUGAGCCUGGUGUUUCCGUCCAAGGGCAAGGGCCCAGUGAGGAAGCAUGCAUGGGCUACUCAAGUUCACAUUUUCCGAAAGCUGGGGCAGUGAGAUCUGGCUUGAAGAGGAGGCCACAGGCUUCCUGGUAUGCGUGUGUUUCUGGGGAAGGGCGCUAACUGAGGUGGGGGGCCUAUGAUGGGCUGGACGUAAUCAUAGUCUGUUACAUGCCCAUUGUGGCUACCCUAUCAAGUCAGUAUUGUUACCCCCAUUUUAUAGAUGAGGAGACAGAAGGUGAGGAAGGUUACGGACUGGCCAGAGGUCACACAGCUGGAAGAAGCAGGAUCAGGAUUCACAGCCAGUUCUGCCUCUUGCCAAGGCCUGGAUGCUCACACGACCUGCCCUUCUGCGCCUAGAAACAGCUUGAGAGCUGAACCGGAAUUGGGCCCACAGGCCACUACAGCAAAACCAGGGGUUCCUCGCCAGCGGUGUCCCAGCCCCAAGCCUGCCAUGCAUUCCCCUGCUGUGGUCACUACCCAGCGGGGCCCGGCUCUCUCUCUCCGGCAGCCCCCACAGGACAGGUUGGCCACUUGGGAGUGCCCAGUGCCCGGCUGGGCCCCAGGGGAAAUGAGGCCAAGGGGAAAUGUCUCCUGGCUCCUUCUCUCCCUCUUGCAGGAGCUGCGGGCUCCUUCAGAGCAGCGGUUGCUAUGCAGCCUUGUUUAUUCAAGGAGAGCGUGGUAGAGGCCGGCAGCGCACCAGCAGCAGGGCCAGGGGCCUGUCCUCUAGCCCGGGGCUGGCCAGGCGUGGGGCUGCCUCAUCCUUGCCCCCCUGGACUCCUGGGCCGCAU